AAAUCAUGGAAUGAGUCAUUGACAAGUACCCAACACCUGUCAAUAGCAGGUAUGGGAUCCACAAGAUGCAGUGACAUACUGAAACCUAGGAUCCAUGCUUACAAUAAGCUUAGAUAUUUAAACCAACUUAGACCCCACAACAUAGUUUUCUGUUGAGUUAAUGAUUUGAUCCUUAGCAAAGUGUGAAUAGUAUAACUUCUGGCUAACAGGG